CUCAGGGUUCUUUCAGAUCAGUGCAAGGGUCUUCGUCGCUGCCUGUGGAACUGGAAUUGGGCGAGGAGGAACAGGCACGGAAAGGAGAAAGGUCUGCGUGUCUGUUCUCAGCACUCGGCUAGCCUAGAAAAGGAGGACGAAGCUAUCCAGAAAUCCUGCAGGAUAGGAAAAGGAGGGGCCAUCUCAACAUGGAAAAACUCUG